GCCCGCUGAUCCCUGUGCCCUUUCCGACUCCUUCUGGAGAUUUUACCAUACUGACCGGUGACUGGUUCAAGGCUAAUCACACGGACCUAAAAGCAGUCUUGGACAGAGGGCAGAAUCUUCCCUUCCCCGAUGCGGUUCUCAUCAAUGGUCGUGGGUGGAAUGGGAACACAUUUACAGUUGACCAAAGUAAAACAUAUAGGUUCCGCAUAUGUAAUGUUGGGUUGACAACAUCUUUAAAUGUAAGAUUUCAAGGGCACACAAUGAAGUUGGUCGAGGUUGAAGGGUCGCACACAGUCCAGAACACAUACUCUUCUCUUGACAUACAUUUGGCCCAGUGUUACUCAGUCCUUGUAACAGCAGAUCAGCCAGGGCAAGAUUACUACAUUGUCGCCUCCACUCGAUUUACGAAUCCUGUGCUCACGACCACUGCCAUCCUCCAUUACAGUAACUCUGCUGGGCCAGUAAGUGGUCCACCACCAGGCGGACCGACCAUUCAGAUUGAUUGGUCCCUCAACCAGGCCCGCUCUAUUCGAUGGAAUCUGACGGCAAGCGGUCCACGGCCAAAUCCACAAGGCUCAUAUCACUAUGGAAUGAUCAACACCACCCGAACCAUUAGGCUUGCAAACUCGGUGGCUUUCCU
rnacentral:misc_RNA from 1 species